GCUGUGAGAGGCAGCUGCGACUUUCUUGGUUCCUCCAUGGCUUCCCUCAGAGACACUGGCGGUUACCACACCCCGCCGAUUUUCAGUCCUUCACUCUCACUAUCUUCAUCCACGAAUCUUUCAAAUUAAUGGGGAAAUCGUCGCUUUCUCGGUCCGAAUCGCUCUCGCUGCUGGUGGCCAUGAUUGUAAACAAUGUGAGGAUGUGCAGAGCCCUACAACCCGUGACGUCACUUGCACAUCGUCUGCUACUUCCCGUACAGGCAAUGCUUUUUUAUUAGCAACCAAAAGUUGCGAUGGAUGUUCUCUACUAAAUCUUUUCAGCAAAAAUAUGGCAAUAUCACGAAAAUGUUCAAGUAUGACACAUAGAAUGGACCUGCUAUCCCCGUUUAAAUAAGAAAAUCUCACUUCAGUAGGCCUUUUAAGUGAGAAUACCCCAGUGGAAUAUUUUUUUCUGACCGUGCGUGCGUGCGUGCGUGCGUGUGUGUGUGUGUGUGAUCUGGCAAUGCUUACUUAUUUGGGACGUCGCUCUGUUUAGAAAUUUACUUUAGGGGACCUUUGACGUUAUGGGGACAUAAAAAACAGGUCCCCUGAAGGGAAACCUUUUUUAACAAUAAUCAGAUCCAUUCUGAAGAUGCCUAAGUGAUUUUUAAGCUCUUUUUUUUUU